rnacentral:lncRNA from 1 species
UUAUCAGCAUUUCUUUUAACCGAGACAGCGCUCAUUAAAGCAAUAUGCUCCGAAUCUGAAACAAGUUCUUCCUUCGCAAGAUUCACUUCAUCACAUUGAUCUUUCUUCACAUUAUCAUUGUGCCAGCAUUCAGAGGAAUAAUGACCAUACUUAUUGCAUGUAAAGCAUUGUAUAUUCCUCUUAUCUUGAUUCUUUCUGCCGCCUCUGCCCCUGGGUUUUCCUCUACCCCU